rnacentral:rRNA from 1 species
GGAUCAAUUUAUUGGUCGUGCUAUUGUACGUACUGGUAUUAUUGAUUCCUACCUUCUGACGAACCAUGAUGUCAUUAAUUUGGUGUCAUGGGGAAUCAGGACUGUUACUUUGAAAAAAUUAGAGUGUUUAAAGCAGGCUCACGCUUGAAUACAUUAGCAUGGAAUAACGAAAUAGGACGUUUGAUUCUAUUUUGUUGGUUUCUAGGAUCGACGUAAUGAUUAAUAGGGAUAGUUGGGGGCAUUUGUAUUCCGUUGCUAGAGGUGAAAUUCUUGGAUUUACGGAAGACAAACUUCUGCGAAAGCAUUUGCCAAGGAUGUUUUCAUUAAUCAAGAACGAAGGUUAGGGGAUCGAAAACGAUCAGAUACCGUUGUAGUCUUAACAGUAAACUAUGCCGACUAGGGAUCGGACGACCUCUUUUUUAUGUGUCGUUCGGCACCU